rnacentral:rRNA from 1 species
CAGUCGCCGCGGGAAUACGAAGGGUGCAAGCGUUAAUCGGAAUUACUGGGCGUAAAGCGUGCGCAGGCGGUGUUGUAAGACUGAUGUGAAAUCCCCGGGCUCAACCUGGGAACUGCAUUGGUGACUGCAACGCUGGAGUGCGGCAGAGGGGGAUGGAAUUCCGCGUGUAGCAGUGAAAUGCGUAGAUAUGCGGAGGAACACCGAUGGCGAAGGCAAUCCCCUGGGCCUGCACUGACGCUCAUGCACGAAAGCGUGGGGAGCAAACAGGAUUAGAUACCCCCGUAGUCCCUGUCUCUUAUAC